CAGCCUCUCUCUUUCACACGCGCGUGAACCCUAGCCGAUCCAGAUCCCUCCGCCGCUGCCCCGUCCUUCCGCCGCCCUCGCCAUCGGUCUGCACCCUCCCCUUCCCUCCCCUCCACUCCUCACUCGCCUCCGGCCUCGGCCUCCGCCUCGUCACGGCGGGCCAGGGCCAUGGACGCCGCCACCGCGGGCCGCACACGAUCUCCGCCGCGCGCGCCGGGAUGAGCCCGAGCCCCGGGCCGGAUCCGGGCCCCGAGAAGUCGGUCGCGUGGCCGGACCUCCGGGGCGGCCUCGAGCGGGCCGGCGCCCUCGCCGCGGAGCUCGCGGCCGAGGCUGAGGAACAGGCACGCCUGGCGCGCCGCCUUGAGGACGCGCACGAGGUGCGGUAGGGCGCGGCGCUGGACGAGAUGAGGCGGCGGCUCAAGUGGCGGUGGGCACGCGCGGACGAGCUCGCCGUCGCCAGGCGGAGGGCCGGCGAGGGCGUCGACCGCCGCAAGGAGCAGAUGCAGGCGCAGAUCGAGCGGGUGCUGCUACUCUCCAGAGCCCUCGCCGCCGCGCACCCACAAGUGCAGGUACUUGUGUGGUGAGAAGCAACCUCCGGCUGAUCAUCAGGGUCAUGGCGCCCCCUCACCCCGUGCAUUUGGUGAAUGUUUGGGAACUCUUUUGUAAAUUUGUUAAUCAGCAUUGUAUUGUACCACUUCCUGGUUGCCGUAUCAAAUAUUAUACCAUUGCACUAUUUAGUUACUUUUCAAAGUUGUGAUAAAUAUAGUUCUUUUUUACUUUCAAGAUAGCAUCAAAUUCAUGUCUUCCAUUUUUCUCAUCUACGUUGUGUGUCUAUAUAUAGCAGCACAGUUUUAGUUGCUCUGUAGGUUAUCAGUAGAACUCAACUAGCCAAUUAACAAGUGAACUCUAUCCAUUUGUUGAAUCCAUAUUUAGAAAGUUCACUUACCCUGCUACUAUAACAAACUGCUGGUGGUGGCUCUUUCACAGGUAGUACAUGCAUCAUCAGUCCUAUAUAGCUGCUGCUUAUGUACUCAUUUUGUUCUAGGAAAGUGGGAGGGCAGGGGCCCUUGAUUUUCUUGCAUAACUUGAGCAAAUUUGAUUUUUAUUCUCUGAAGUUGAUUCUCAUGUGUGGUCAUACCAAUAACACAUGCUUAAGACAUCAGUGGCUGGACUGUAGAUGUUUGAACCAGGAAAAAAAUUGUGGGGAAAUAAACCAUUUAUCCUUUAUUGCUUUGUGUUUUAUCUUCUAGAAUUAGUGUACUUUACUUAUAUGUUUAUAUGUUGAAUGACAGAAGCUCAAGGUGAAGAAGGCCAUCGAGAAGGGCAACGCCGACGGCGCCCAGAUCUAUGCGGAGAACGCCAUCCGCAAGCGCACCGAGCACAUGAACUACCUCCGCCUCGCCUCCCGCCUUGCCCCAUAUGCCCAUGAGUGAUAUAUACUACUUGCCUACUGCUGUAUCAUAUUGCUUACUUUUUUACAUCAGAUCAACUAUGAAGAGAAUUGGUGGUGGUUAGGGUGUUCUAGUGCUUAUCUAAUCCUCUUUCAAGCCUUUCGAGAUAGAGUUCUUUAGCUGACAAGUUUAGCAAAUGCUGUAGUGCUUAUGUUUUAGUUUUACACCUGUGUAAAAAUGAAUGGCUGCUACUGUUUCUAAUUUUAGGUUGGGAUGAGAUGCAUGUUUGCAUGCUUGUGCUUCUGUCACUACAAUCUAUACUACUGCUAUUGUCAUAUCCUGGUUGUUUUGUUGCUACCAAUAUUUUUCCCAUGUUUUGUUUCCUUGCAUGCUUACUACUACAAUCUAUACUACUACCAUUGUGCAAGAUGUUCACAUGUUAAUUUUUGUUGACUAAAAUCUCUUAUGCCGUUGACUUAGCUUGACCCAGAACAGCAGCAUCCUUGAUGCGUACUAACCUUCACCUCGUUCUUUCUCUCGUAGACUCGAAGGUCGCCGUAUGCAAGGCACCAAGGUGCAUGGUGCUCGCAAGCGAUGAAUGGAGGCUGUUUGACAUCGGCUACGCAAACCACCAUUAUGCUGGCCUUCAUUCAUGUUUUGUCGUGAGGUCCAGGAUGAACAAGUUGGGAUAAGCAUUGGAGCUAGUUAUACUGUGAUAGUUGUGUUACCUGAUGUGAACAUUUUUUUAUUGUAAACUUGAUGUGAACCAUAUUUUUCUGUAAUAAUGUGUUACCAGGAUGAACCAUCCUUGCUGUGUUACCAGGAUGAACAAGUUUGAUUGUAAUAAUGUGCCAAGUUUGGCUCUUUCACGAUUGUAUUCGUGAUGUGAACCAUAUUUUUCCUGAUUAGUCGUGCUCUGUUUGAAGCA